rnacentral:rRNA from 1 species
GACGAACGCUGGCGGCGUGCUUAACACAUGCAAGUCGAACGGUGAAGGGACUGGUUUUGCUGGUCCUGGAUGAGUGGCGAACGGGUGAGUAACACGUGAGUAACCUGCCCCCUUCUUCUGGAUAACCGCAUGAAAGUGUGGCUAAUACGGGAUAUUCUGGGUCUGUCGCAUGGUGGGCCUGGGAAAGAUUGCGCCUUUUUUGGUGUUUUUGUUGGGGGAUGGGCUCGCGGCCUAUCAGCUUGUUGGUGGGGUGAUGGCCUUCCAAGGGGGUGACGGGUAGGCGGGCUGAGAGGGUGGACGGUCACGCUGGGAGUGAGACACGGCCCAGACUUCGGCGGGAGGCAGCAGUGGGGAAUAUUGCACAAUGGGCGGAAGCCUGAUGCAGGGACGGCGCGUGAGGGAUGGAGGCCUUCGGGUUGUGAACCUCUUUCGCCAGUGAAGCAGGCCUGCCUCUUUUUGUGGGUGGGUUGACGGUAGCUGGAGAAGAAGCGCCGGCUAACUACGUG